rnacentral:rRNA from 1 species
AUGAGGGGAGGCACGGCGCAGCGGUACAUAGUCGCGUUCCACCGAAGAGAUCGGGCGACCUGGGGCUGCUGGGUGCGGGACCUAGGACCUGGGGUUGCUAGGUGCACAAGGUUCAAAAAUUAUUUUAAAGGAUGGGGGUCCCAUGUUUUUGGUCACGAGAGGAAAAGGAAGAAAGAGGUUCGUAUAGAGCUUGAGGAGAUCGAAAAGUUAGAGGAAGAUGGGAUUAUUGAUGCAGAAAAUUGUUGCCGUAGAGCUUUGCUCUUGGCUGAGCUCAAUGUCAUUCUAACUAAUGAUGAGUCGUUUAGACUCCAGCAAUCUAGAGAGAUAUGGCUUUUGAAAGGAGACCAAAACACUGCGUACUAUCAUCACAUUGCGAAUGGUAGAAAACAUAAGAAUACUAUCCAGUCCUUCACUGAUGGGGAUAAUGUGAUCGAGGGCACACAAAAUUUACUUGAUCAUGCAACCUCAUACUAUAAGGAGUUGUUUGGGGCCCCAGGCAAUCUUUGCCACCUUUCUCCUGAUACCUGGGGGGAGCAUGAGAAGCUGAACGAU